GGAGGCCUCCGGUGACAAACCGGAGGAAGGUGGGGAUGACGUCAAGUCAUCAUGGCCCUUUCGGCCAGGGCUACACACGUACUACAAUGGUAGGGACAGAGGGCUGCAAGCCGGCGACGGUAAGCCAAUCCCAGAAACCCUAUCUCAGUCCGGAUUGGAGUCUGCAACUCGACUCCAUGAAGUCGGAAUCGCUAGUAAUCGCAGAUCAGCAUUGCUGCGGUGAAUACGUUCCCGGGCCUUGUACACACCGCCCGUCACACCAUGGGAGUUUGUUGCACCAGAAGCAGGUAGCUUAACCUUCGGGAGGGCGCUUGCCACGGUGUGGCCGAUGACUGGGGUGAAGUCCGAAAAAAAUGAAUGGA
rnacentral:rRNA from 1 species